UUUGGGCAUAUUAAUUGGAGGGUCUCUUAUAGGAUGAGAUCAACAGCAAGGUGGACUACCCAUUGGUCCCUGCAACAUCAGCUCUGGUACAUAACAGUUUCAUUUAUAUGACUGAAAAAACUUAGAUUCCGAAAACUGAAAAUUUGUGAACAUAUGAGGAAAUGUGAUGUGAAGCAGAAGCAGCGGUGUUCGAUAUGGAAUACACACGAGGUGGCUGGAGGAACAACAGAGGCUGUUUACCGAACUAAGUGUGGCGACCCAAGAGCACGUGGAGAGGAAUAUAGUUCAAGGCAGCUUCAUAGAAAUAACGUUUACCCGAAUUAGAUGAUUCUUUUCGCCUUACAAAUCUUUCAUUUGUUUUCAGUAGCUAAUCACACAUUUAAUUUUCAGAGCUCUGUGCUAAUGUUAUUGUUGUUGUGUGUGUUGAUCAUUUGGACAGGACAAAGCUACUUUGAGAUUGACUUGUAUAUGCACAUGUUCAAUUACAUAAUGGGAAAAAGACGAGAAUCUUUCAGGGAUAGGAUCAACAAUGAGAUUCCUUCAUCUUGGUUUAAUUAUUCAAAAAUUUGAAUAAUUUCUCAAAAUAUUGGUCGGUAUGUCUUUUGUUUGUAGAGUUUAGUUGAGGUAAUUUUUUUGUUCUUUCUAACACAAUCUCUAUCAUCAAAAAACUUAUAGCAAAUACUGUACUGUGUUAGGGCGAACAAGAUUCAUUUUGUGAAUUACCGAUAUGUUACACUUUUAAAUAACAAACAAUGAUGGGAUUCCAGAUCUAAUACACUUUAAAGAUCACAUAAAACAGAAAAGAAUCGAUCAACUAAUCACCGAAGAGACAAAAGCAGAGCAUAUAACAUGUUAAUGUAUCUAUACUAUUAAAAGAGAAGCAUUUUAAAAAAAUCUACUUAAACAAAGUUGUUGGACCUAUUCAUUAAGUAAUUAUUUUUUGGUCCUACCUUAAUAUAAUUAUAAUCUAACUAAACGAUAUAUUACUUAAUUUAAAUGAUCUCAUAUAUUACUUACCAAAUCAUGUUAUACACCACUGAUUAUACCAUGGCUCCAUUUUAUUAAAAUAACAUCUUAACAAAACGUGACUAAUGAAUCACAAUAUCAUAACAAUAGUGUUCCUUGGUACCCCAAUGUUACAACAGUUCAAUCUACCAUUGCCAUUGAUCGAGCUUUGUUAAAAAAAUUGAAAAGAUCCUCGAGAUCUAUCAACAGAUUUUUAUAGAUGUGUUACUUAAUAAUUUCAAGAUUUGCACCAAAUUAAAUGUCUAAAAUAAUUAACUUUACUGAUUUUAAUUUUUUUAAUUGGUAAUAUUGUAGUAUUUAUAGUUAAUAAAAAUUCUUCAAAAAUACUUUUAAUAGAGUUCAUGGAAAUUUUGGAUUUGUGGUCAAUAUCUAUAAAUUAAAAUGCAUAGCAUAAAUACAAUGAAUUUAUUUUAUAUGACAAAUCAAAUAGGUUAUUCAGUUUUUUGUACUAUUAUAAAGUAUAUGAAAAGUAAAUCAAAAAUUUAAAAUAUUAUAAGAUUUUUCUGGGUUUUUUUCGGAUCAACCGAUGUUGGUUCACGGGUUAAUGGCGAAUUUUUGGGUUUUAUCAGAGCUUUAAAAAUUAAGGUACCCAUUUGAUUCUAGAUUCAGUUUCAAUUUUUUGGUUCCAGAGAUAUAUGAUCUACUCGGUUAUUUAUGAAAUUCAAUUCAAUUUUGGUUUCGGUUUCUUCAGUUUGAUACUGUUCGGUUCGAGAUUCCGAAAAAUAUGCUCUAACCUAUACACUAUUUUAUAUAAAAAUUAAUUUUAAAAAAUAUAUUUAAUUUCGAAAACAAACCCGCGCUUUCCAAGCGCGGGUCAAAAUCUAGUUUGUAUUAAAGAUGCCAAAAAGAAAAAAAAAUAUAAACGUUCUUUUUGUAAACCAAUGUAACCAGAUCUGCUCUAAAAACAUCGUUAAGUAGUGACUAUAAGAGACGAGCGAAAGCAAGCAAAUUUUAGGUGAAUAAUUGUUUUUAUAUAUUUUUGAAUUAUUUGUGAAAGAUUUCUAUAAUCAAAUCGCAUCUAUAUUGCAGCUAAAAAUGUUUUUAUUUAUUCUCAAAUCUAACACUACAAUAUUUUUUUUGUAAAGAAGCCAAGCAUUUAUACUGCUAAGUAUAUUCUAUAGACGAAGAGACCAUCUAUCUUGGACAACAUCUCCUAUGUUCUAAGUCAAGUUAAACCGUGUUUGCAAAAUUCAAAACUAAAUAAAAUUGUGCCGAGAACACAACUGCAUAUCACAGAAUAUAGAACUACAAUUUUAAGAUGAAACUAGAUUUUGACCCGCGCUUCGAAAGCGCGGGUUUUAUGGAUUAUAUACGAAGUUGGAUAUGAUAUAGUAUUUUGAGAAUAUUUUGGGAAUAUUAUGUAUUAUUAUGUUAUAAAGUCGUAUUAUAUCGAAUACAGAAAUUUGUUUAAAAUUAUAUAACUUAUGAAUAAGUUUAUUCGAGAUUUUUUAUAUACACUCUUAUGUAACGCUUUCUUAAGUAUAAAAAGUUUACCUAAAUUUGAUAAACGAACCAAACCAAUACGAAAUACAGGCUGAGGUUCAAGAUUGAGAAAAAGUACCUAUUAGAUUUUUUUGGCUUUUCGGAUUCUUAAGAUUUUUUUGUCCUAAAUACUCAAACCGAGCUAGAUCAUUAUGUAGCCAAAUUACAUAGUAAAUUUUACAAAUACUUGAAUUAUUGACUCAAACUUACCUGGAACUAAAAGGAACAAAUCUGAACAAAAAAAAAUUCAAAUACCUAGUUGAAUAUAAAUGCUCAAGACCCAAAGAACUUGAACCUGAAAGAAACCGAUUUAUAUUUGACCCGAAGAUCCGAAUGCCCAAAUCUAACCUUUCAUUAUAUUUUUGUGCAUUUUAUAAAAGUUACAUUUGAUUAGUUGGUGAAACUUAAAAUUUAUUUGAGAGGUUUUUGGGUAAUUUAACAGUAUAGAUUUGUAGGUUUUUUGUUGAACAGUAAAAAAAAAAGAUUUGUUGGGUUUUUGAUAAUUUUAAACUUAUCUUAAAUAUUAAAUUGUUAUUUAUCAAUAAAAUAAAAUUAACAUAAUAUAUCAUUUUUAAACUUAUCUUAAUUAUGAAGUUAAUGAGACAUAUUUAGAGAAUAGUAUAAUAAAGUGUAUGUGAUAAUAUUUCCGUGAACCAAAUUUAUGUGAUCAUAUAUAUUUGGUAUGAGUCCAAUAAAUAAAGCUUUGACUAAAUGAUUGUUAGAGAAAUUUAAGGCAACAUAUUAUUUGUCCAAAUAAUGUAAGACCAAAAUAUUCUUAGUUAAUGAAAGGGUCCAAACAACUUUUUAAGUAGAUUUAUUAAAACUCCUUGCCUUUUAAUAGUAUUGAUGUGAUAAUAUUUUCGUGAACCAAAUUUAUGUGAUCAUAUAUAUUUGGUAUGAGUCCAAUAAAUAAAGCUUUGACUAAAUGAUUGUUAGAAAAAUUUAAGGCAACAUAUUAUUUGUCCAAAUAAUGUAAGACCAAAAUAUUCUUAGUUAAUGAAAGGGUCCAAACAACUUUUUAAGUAGAUUUAUUAAAACUCCUUGCCUUUUAAUAGUAUUGAUUUUAAAUUAUAAUAACACAUUAACACUGGGAAAUAACAAAAAGAAACAUAUAAAAUAUAUCCACAACUAGCUUCUAAGCAAAUAUUUUCCUCUCUAAUUGCUCACCUAAUAUAUAAUAUAAUUACCCGAAAAAUAAAAUUUAUCAAACUCAAUCUGAUAUAUGCACAUAUUAAUAAUUACAUCAUCACAUCCAUCUAGAUCAAUAAAUCACACAAACUUCAAAACAUCCGAUAGUAAAUCUAUUAAAAAUAAGAAAAAAAAUAAAAGAAAUCAGUUUGUUUAUAGACUAAUGACUACAAGAGAAUGAAAAAAAAAAUGGUGAUAAAGAAACACAUGAUAAAGCGAUGGGAAGAACAAACAAAAGGGUAAACACACACCAAAUAAAACGAAAAAUAUUUCCACCAAAUACAUGGCCAAUAAAUUCGUCAUUUUAACAGUUAUUGUCAAAAAGGUCAUCAGUUCACUCCUAAUUCAAAAACCUAACAAACCUCUAUCAUCAUUAACAAUGUAGCACUAUGUAGGACUAGCAAAACAAACCAAUAACAAUGUUUAUGAAUCAAUAAUUUCAUAGUACUUAUUUUAAGAUUUACAGUAUUUGGACAUUUAAAAAAAAACAAGAACGAACAUUUUGGAAACAAUCAUAACGGGGCUGAUUGGUUAGGGUGUAAAUUUACUGUAAAAUUUAAUCUGUAAGAGUUUUUGAUUUAGUCGUAAAGGAUGUAGUUUUAAAAUUUAUUGUUACAACCAUAUAUUUCCUACAGCUAAAAAAUGAAGCUUUAGAAAAUAAAGUUUUUUCAGCCAUUUUUUUAUUUUUUUGGCUUUAGCUUUAAAAACCAAUAUAAGGAACGAUUGGUAAUUUUAAAAGUUGUAGGUAAAAUUAAAACUAAAAUCAAUUCUUGCAGCCUAACAAAAUCUUCUUAACUAGAUUGGUGACUAUUUUUAAAAAGAAAUGCAAAGGAUUGAGGAAAACUGCAAGAUUCAAUAUAAAACCAACAUACAUAAAAUUGAAGGAAUGAACAAUUUAUGAAGUAUCAAAUUUUACAGUGCUUCCAAAUACAAGAAAUACCGACUAACACAUCAUCAUUUUUUUUGUCAGACUUUUGGGCCACAACGAACCGGCCCGAUAGCCCUUAAAUCCCCACCGAGGGAAAAGCCUCACCUAAGAGGAUGGGAUCGUUCAAACCCCUAACGCCAAGGUUCGCAAGGGACUCUCACUAGCCACUGGGCUAGGAACAACUCGACAUACAUCACGUCAUCUUUAUUUCAUUCAGAUCAACCGAAUGAUAUAAAUAUUACUGAUUAAGGAAAAUGCACCCGAAAUACAUUCUAAAGAAAUUUAGGGUUCAUUGAUAAAAAAAAAUUAGGGUUCAAACUUACGGUGUUCUCCUACGUUUAGCCACUAACAACAUACCUAUAUCUUUGGUUUAGCUUAUUUAAAUUUAAAAUAUGAAUUUCAUCAUAAACCUACAAUUAUAUGUUAUAGGUCAAAUAUACAUAAUGCAUGGUAUAUAUCUUCAAAAUCCAUAGCAAAAAUGGAGGUUGUUAUAGAUUUAGUUCUGGAUAGGUACACACUAAAAACAACAAAUAAAUAAGAAUGUAUAUUUAAUUAAAUAUAAAAUUCUCCACAAUUUCUUCAAGUAAUACACAAUAAAAAUUAAGAUACUUAUGCUUAAAAUUAUGAAACAGACUCAUAAAGAAGAUAAUCGAAUUAAUAAUCAUUGGUAAUGAACCAAAAUAAUUGUGUAUAUAAAUUAUACAAACUGUUUUAUCAAAAAAAAAAACUAUAGAAUCUGUUUUACAAUUAUUACUUAUUAAUAAUAAUUUUUAAAUGUUGAGAUCAACUUUUGCGGAUAUUUUGGUGACAUUUUUAGUAUUGUUCUAAAAUGAGCAUCAGUCAUCAAACAUCAUUGUAAGUGUCAACAUCUCAUACAGAUGCUAAAUACCAUAAAGAAUUUCCUAAUACCGUAACUUAGAACUCAAAUUGUAAAUAAAAAGUGAAAGAACACUGAUUUCAAGAAAAAUAUAUAUUUAUGAAUAUCUACUAUGUUAGAAUAGUGAUUAGACUAAUGAUGUGGUGUGUUCUCAGAUUUGGCAUGUGCAAUACAUGGUGCAUUUCUGUCACAACUAGAUGGACUUUAUUUAUGAUUAAUAAUUCGUUUCAUGAUAACCCAGUAUAUAAAAUAAAAUAUAUUUGGAUCAUAAUUUAUAAUUAACUAUUCUUUAUUUAUUUCAUAUUAAAAAUGAAAAAUUGUCAAUUUUACUUAUUUUUAAAUCUAUAUAUGGUUUAUAGUUUUAUUUCAAGGGAUGUAAUAUAUGCACAUUAUAUGUAUUAAAUAUAUUGCUAUUUUUCUAACCCGGGGAAAAUCUCUAAUCAUGAUAAAGAAAGUAUAAACCAACGCAAGUAGCACUCCAUCUAUUUAUUUAUAUACAUCUUCAUGUUUCCCUGUACGAGAAUCAAAUCAUAACUGAGUAUUAGAAUUAAUUCAAAGAAAGAAAGAUCGAUCAAUGGGGAAAGUAAUUAUGUUAAUAGUGUUUGUGGCAGUUCUCUUGCUAAUCUUAAUCAUUUGGCUUAUUCAUUUUCUCUACAAUAAAACUAAGAAAGAUGGAGGCAAGAUAAGAACCAGUUGUCUCCCCUUCGGCUAUGACCACGGCAUCGGAGGCAUCGGCGGAAUGGGCUGACUGAUCUCAUCAGCAACAAUCUUUCUGUCUCUCCAUCAGAUGGUCAUUACACUAAUCUCUUCGUGGAAAGCAAAUUGUUAUUUGUAUCUAAUUUUGAUAUAUAUCGGCGAGUUUAAGGGACAAAAGUGAACGUGAUGAUUGUGCUUUCGUUGAUUUCUUAUUGUGUGAAUCAAAAUAGGUCAAGAUAACCUUGCACAAGAAAUUGAACCUAAUGAGUAAUUUAAAUUUCUGGAAAAGGAAAUAUAAUAUGAAAUUAAUAAGCAUUCUCUAAAAAAUAUUACAAAAUGAUUUAGAUAGAAUUUGUUUCUAGCUCAGAUUGUACUGGAUGAAACAAAUAAUUUUGCAAGCCUAUAUCAACCCCAAUACAUACAUAUCAACGGUCUUAACGUUUUAUGAAUAUGUAAUGCUCCAACCAGAUUAUAAAAUUAUAAUGCCCCGUCGACAAUGAGUUUCCCACGUCCGCGAACUCGAUUUGCAGGUCUCAUUCAUUUUGUGCUGUGUUCAGUGCAUUAAUUUUUCUAAAUGCUCGAAAUUCUUGUUUAGUGACCUGACCCUACAACCAUCAUCGUAACAUUUUCUCGCGCUUUGGUUUCACCCGCACAAUAUCGCGAAUCAUUUUCCCAUAAUAGAUUAGAUCAAGAACGCUUAACUCUAUAGCUAUUUUUGGAUGUAUAACCAAAAAGUUAAAUGCACUUUGGUGACAUAGAUAUCUAAAUCAAUUCUCGUAACCUUUUCUAACAUAUACCACAAAUCGGGAUGUCAGAAUUUGUCCCAUCUCAAAAAACGAAAUAUCCAUGUUGUACACUAUGCUUGUUACCUAUGAUAGUGUGAACCCACAUAAAAUUCCACACUCAUCUAAGUUUGGCUUUAAUACCACUUAUAAUGUCUCGACCAUUCAUGGUUAAUGGCCCUCCCAAGCACGAUUAGUCAGUUUGUAGGCUCCAUUCCAUAGAUGAGUGGUGCAUUAAGUUUUUGGAGGUUCGAAGAUCCCAUAUAUAUUAAUUGAGAAAUAUUACAACUUUUUUUUGUAGCCAUGUGUCAUUACUAUGAUGAUUCUUAGAAUCAUUAAAAAAUAGGUUGGUCCAUCUAAUUAUAUAAGAAGUUUUUUAUUAAACUAACCAUAAAUUCAUUAUUAAUGGUCUUUAUUAUUUCAUUAAAUAAAUAUUACGAAAUUGCCUAAUGUGGCUAAAGUAUAU